GGCGGGACACGUGGUAUCCUGUCUGAAUAUGGGGGGACCAUCCUCCAAGGCUAAAUACUCCUGACUGACCGAUAGUGAACCAGUACCGUGAGGGAAAGGCGAAAAGAACCCCGGCGAGGGGAGUGAAAAAGAACCUGAAACCGUGUACGUACAAGCAGUGGGAGCACAGAGCAAUCUGUGUGACUGCGUACCUUUUGUAUAAUGGGUCAGCGACUUAUAUUCUGUAGCAAGGUUAACCGAAUAGGGGAGCCGAAGGGAAACCGAGUCUUAACUGGGCGUUAAGUUGCAGGGUAUAGACCCGAAACCCGGUGAUCUAGCCAUGGGCAGGUUGAAGGUUGGGUAACACUAACUGGAGGACCGAACCGACUAAUGUUGAAAAAUUAGCGGAUGACUUGUGGCUGGGGGUGAAAGGCCAAUCAAACCGGGAGAUAGCUGGUUCUCCCCGAAAGCUAUUUAGGUAGCGCCUCGUGAAUUCAUCUCCGGGGGUAGAGCACUGUUUCGGCAAGGGGGUCAUCCCGACUUACCAACCCGAUGCAAACUGCGAAUACCGGAGAAUGUUAUCACGGGAGACACACGGCGGGUGCUAACGUCCGUCGUGAAGAGGGAAACAACCCAGACCGCCAGCUAAGGUCCCAAAGUCAUGGUUAAGUGGGAAACGAUGUGGGAAGGCCCAGACAGCCAGGAUGUUGGCUUAGAAGCAGCCAUCAUUUAAAGAAAGCGUAAUAGCUCACUGGUCGAGUCGGCCUGCGCGGAAGAUGUAACGGGGCUAAACCAUG
rnacentral:rRNA from 1 species